UAAUAAUUAUUUCAAUGUUUUGGUUUUUCACCUUGAUUUCCUCAUUUUUGGUUUCGGCCACAAAUUUUAAUUUUGGUGCAUCCCUAAUGUUUAAGAAUGGCAUAAAGAGAACAUAGGCGUUGAUGCUACAUAGCCACAUUUAUUGGUUGAUCCAAAUUAUAACAUAUAUUACUUAGUGUUUAAUCCCUUCGCCAAAAUUAAUGAAAGAUCUUGGCGUGAGACCAUCUGAAGAGCCUUGCAUUUUUUAUGCACACGUGCCAACAACGGAACCACUGAGCUUUUUUCUUUGAGGACUAAAGGGUUUCCGGUGGAACAAAAGCAGAACAGGUGCAAGGACUGGACUAAUUGCACAGUAGGUGGCGGUAAUGCACCUUCAGUUGGUUGCCACCCGCCAUUUAGACGGACAUGAGAAGAAGAAGAAGAACUGGACUAAUUAAGUUUGCAACUUCCAGCUUUGUUUAUGAGCCAACCAUCCACUCUGAAUCAAGGGCUUCUGACGUUCUGGUGCCGCUCGUAAAGAUGCCGAAUCCUUAACCGGACACACUGACCGGAAACGACAUAAAACAGGGGUACUCUCACCGGGGGUGGCUGACAAGCAACGACUGUGGCUUACCUCAUACUGUGAGUGCUACUCUUCUUUAAUCUUCCUUCCUCUAUUUUCUGUGUUUCUCUCCCCUCUUAUCUUAAUUUUUCUUAACUCUGGCAUGUUAAAACCUUCCUUUCCAUCUUGACUGCUGCGCUAAUCCUCCAGCAGGUUUUUGGGGUGCCACGCUGUUUUGGGGGCUCUUUUAGUGACACUACGGUUUUGUGUAGUAAUGUCUGCAAACACCUGUCCAAUUAGACUGAUUGUGAUGCUCUUCAAACUACCAGACAGAUCCCAUGGUGUGGCAUGGAGAUUUAGCAAAGCGCACUAAAUACUUCUGCUCUUGUCAGAUGUUUAUAGCAGUUUUUGUGACAAAUGUCUUUCCGUAAAUCCAGGUUUAGUGAGGGGUAAUUGAAGGGACUCCAGGAACGUUCUGUCAGAAAAGGACAAAAGUCUUUCUGCAAAAUUUAAGUUGAAGUGUUGGUUUGCUGUGUGUCCAAAAAGGGAGUAAAUUAUGGGUUGUCCGUGGUUUAUGGGAGGGUAGAAAAUUGCUAGAAGUUCAAGUUCAAACACAUCUAAACUUAAAAGUGCUGCACUGGCUUUGUUAUACUUGGGUUUUUAUCUAAAUGUUCCUAAAGAAAGGUUGAUGUGACAGGACACUGUUGGCAAAAGUCAGUAGCUUAUAGCUCUCAUUCACUUGUUGUUUUAAUAAAUCUGCCAUGGCUUCUAGUAUGAUUGAAUGUCUUGUGAGUUGUUUUCAGUGGGGAAAAAAGCUCCGGCGCUCCUGUUUCAGGAAAUGAAAGUGAGAAGCGGGGGUAGAAAAUGGCAGGAUUUGGAGUCUUUAUUAAUAAUAUUCAUGAUAUUCAAACAUCUCGCCCCUGAUUGGCUAACAGUUACCCAACUCUUCCACUGCCUCUGUUCACUGUUCAAUGCUGACGUUUUAUCUCUACUUAGGGCUGCUCAGUUAAUCGAAUUUUUAUCCCAAUUACGAUCUGAGUUUUGAACGAUUAUGAAAGCAAAACAAGACGAUUAUUUGCUCCUCCCUCUUGCGCUGCCCCAAGUUGUAAAUCAAGCACUCCUCCCACAGUAUUGCCAACUUAGCGACUUUGUCGUUAUUUCCAACAGCUUUUCAGACGCCCUUCUUGACUUUUUAAAUCUUAAAAGUACCCAGCAAACACCCCAGAACCAUUUCUGGUAACCCUUAGCUACUUUCUGGAAAACUGUCAUUGGCAUUUCCUGCAAGUUAGCAAAACACUCCGCCUGCACUCCAGACGGUCCUUCAGGACAUUAGGAAAGGGAAUGAUGUGUGAUGUGUCGGUCACUAAAGAAACGGCUCUCAGAGCUGGCUCCCUCUUGAAUUAACCGGAGUGAGCGACACACACACACUGCACCUGAAGGCUCCUGAGCCGCUAAAAACGGCAAAAUGUGCGCGUACGGCGCCUGAAACACACGCGCAGCUUGCCCCUGAUGGUUGUGAGUCUGGGUUGAGGAGUGGGAGGUGCAGCGCACCUCCGAUUGCUGUGGUUGGGACAAUUAUUAACAUUAACUGAUGGGACCUGUAAAUAAAUAGUUUAUAAAUAAGGUAGAAAUAGAUAGAAAUAAGUUCCUCGCACUGAUGAAUAAUAAUUAAUCUCUCUGAGAUGGAGGACAUGUUGCUAGUGCACUCUCCUAGCACCUUGACGGGACUAAAUAAAUAUUAUGCAACAUUGUGUGAACAUCACUAAACAUAUGUUUAUAUGUUUUUUUUAAUUUAUGUUAUAAAGGCCACAAGUUAUUGGUAUUUAGGUCUGUACUGGUUAGGUGUAAAUGAGUUAAACCAAGCCCUUGGGUCAUAAACUAUGAGCAAGUAUAUUGGUGUUUUUAUACUAGGAGUCAGGAGUUAUUGUCCUGAUUGUGCCCUGUGCAAUUUUAUGACAGAAUAAAAACAAACAAUCAACAUUAAUCAUCUUAAAUAAUCGAGAUCUCAAUUUCAGUCACAAUUAUCACAAUUAUAAUUUUUGUCAUAAUCGAGCAGCCUUAUCUCUACAUAUAUCCAUCCAUCCAUUUUCAUCCGCUUAUCCGGAGUCGGGUUGCGGGGGCAGCAGCCUAAGGUGAGAGGCCCAGACUUCCCUCUCCCCAGCCACUUGGGCCAGCUCCUCCGGGGAAAUUCCAAGACGUUCCCUGGCCAGGUGAGAGACAUAGUCCCUCCACCGUGUCCUGGGUCUACCUUUAGGCAUCCUGACCAGAUUCCCGAGCCACCUCAACUGGCUCCUCUCGAUGUGGAGGAGCUACUUCAAACCUCUCCCGGAUGACCGAGCUUCUCACCCUAUCUCUAAAGGAAAGCCCAGCCACACUUCGGAGAAAACUA